rnacentral:misc_RNA from 1 species
ACAAACUUGGUCAUUUAGAGGAAGUAAAAGUCGUAACAAGGUUUCCGUAGGUGAACCUGCGGAAGGAUCAUUAAUGAAUAACCUGUAGUUGAGCUGGCCUUUCUAAACAAGAGGCAUGUGCUUGCUACUAACUCUUCAUCCACCUGUGCACACUUUGUAAGGGGAGAAAUGUUUACAGGGUUCAGCCGUCAUGCUUUACCUUCAGUUUCUUCUCUUAUGUUUUUAUACACACAAUUGAAUGUUUAGAAUGUCUACUUUAUGAAGGCUUGUCCUUCUUAAAAACAUAAUACAACUUUCAGCAACGGAUCUCUUGGCUCUCGCAUCGAUGAAGAACGCAGC